CUGCGAAUGGCUCAUUAAAUCAGUUAUCGUUUAUUUGAUAAUACCUUACUACUUGGAUAACCGUGGUAAUUCUAGAGCUAAUACAUGCUGAAAAUCCCGACUUCGGAAGGGAUGUGUUUAUUAGAUAAAAAACCAAUGCCCUUCGGGGCUCUUUGGUGAUUCAUGAUAACUUUACGGAUCGCAUAGCCUUGCGCUGGCGACGGUUCAUUCAAAUUUCUGCCCUAUCAACUUUCGAUGGUAAGGUAUUGGCUUACCAUGGUUUCAACGGGUAACGGGGAAUUAGGGUUCGAUUCCGGAGAGGGAGCCUGAGAAACGGCUACCACAUCCAAGGAAGGCAGCAGGCGCGCAAAUUACCCAAUCCCGACACGGGGAGGUAGUGACAAUAAAUACUGAUACAGGGCUCUUUUGGGUCUUGUAAUUGGAAUGAGUACAAUUUAAACCUCUUAACGAGGAACAAUUGGAGGGCAAGUCUGGUGCCAGCAGCCGCGGUAAUUCCAGCUCCAAUAGCGUAUAUUAAAGUUGUUGCAGUUAAAAAGCUCGUAGUUGAAACUUGGGCCUGGCUGGCGGGUCCGCCUCACCGCGUGCACUCGUCCGGCCGGGCCUUCCUUCUGAAGAACCUCAUGCCCUUCACUGGGCGUGUUGGGGAAUCAGGACUUUUACUUUGAAAAAAUUAGAGUGUUCAAAGCAGGCCUUUGCUCGAAUACGUUAGCAUGGAAUAAUAAAAUAGGGCGUGCGUUUCUAUUUUGUUGGUUUCUAGAGACGCCGCAAUGAUUAACAGGAACAGUCGGGGGCAUCAGUAUUCAGUUGUCAGAGGUGAAAUUCUUGGAUUUACUGAAGACUAACUACUGCGAAAGCAUUUGCCAAGGAUGUUUUCAUUAAUCAGUGAACGAAA
rnacentral:rRNA from 1 species